UCCAUUCACUUCAGAGUCUCACACUGUCAAGGACCUGUGCAGACUGCUGCAACACGGGAUCUGGAUAGCACAACACGGACACCUUUCUCCCUUGUGAUUUUCCAAGAGGAUUUGCUCGAUUGGAUUAUAUUCUCCCAGGACUAUUAAAUGCUAUCAUAGAAACACUUGCGUCUUGAUUCUGGUUCAUUCUACUGCGCUUCUUGUUUAGAUAGUUCAGUGAACUGGGCUGAAGUUGGAGGCGUGUGUGUUAAAGGGUGAAGGACAAGUGCAAUGCUCUUCAGACUCGUCUCCUAGGAUUGUCCCACUUUGCGCCCGAGGAGCUGUGUGUCGAGCAGCCGCGCAGAUCUUGUUCAAGAGGACGCAGUUCAAUGUGAAUAACCAGAGUCGACGUCCAGCCUCCUCAGCUUUUCUCAGUUACAAGCAAGUGCACGGAGUUUGUCUGAGCCCGCUGAGCAGCUCGGACACCCCCGGUUUCUCUCUCCGAGGGGAUGGUUGUGGAUCCUGUGGGGCCAGGAGCGAUUCUGCGGCUCCUACAGAAUAGCACCUUUUUCUCGUUCGGGGUUCAUUCUGAAUUAAAGGGAGAUGAGAGCCGCACUUUGUUACUUCCUGCUGUGGACGACGUACCUGCUGCUGGCCACCUCUGAGGAAGUGGAGUUUCCCCAGGAGCUGAUAGACAGACUGUCCCACAGUGAAAUCCACAGCAUCAGCGACCUCCAGCGGCUACUGGACCUUGACUCCGUAGGUGCGGGAAACAAUGUUAUCGAGGAGCCCAAGCACCACAAGCACCACAACCACCAGAAGAACUACUCCCGUCAUCCCGGUUACUACAACGACCUGAAGAGCUCCCAGCUCCACAGCCGACGCAAGAGGAGCAUCGCAGAGGAGGCGGUCCCGGCGGCGUGUAAGACGCGGACGGUGAUCUACGAGAUCCCCAGGAGCCAGGUGGAUCCCACGUCUGCCAACUUCCUGAUAUGGCCGCCCUGUGUGGAGGUGAAGCGCUGCACAGGCUGUUGCAACACGAGCAACAUGCGCUGUCACCCAUCCCGCAAGCACCAUCGCACCGUUAAGGUAGCAAAGGUGGAGUACAUAAAGAGGAGACCCAAGCUGAAAGAGGUCUUUGUGCGGUUAGAAGACCACCUGGAGUGUGUGUGUUCGUCACAGCAUCAUGCGGCGGUGCACUCUGAUGCAGAAACAGGCCACCGUAGGGCUAAAGGUAAAAAAAGGAAACCUAAAAAGCUAAGGCCCAGCAAGGAUUUAUUGGCGACAUAAUAAAGUUGCACUCAUUACCCAAAGUCCACUGAAGAGCUGUGAAGGGAACAGUGGACGUGAGGUGAGACCAAUCAGAACAAGGGACUUCAGCGUGGGAGGGACCUAAGUAGAGGAUGUCACCAACAGGAGACCUGCUCUGUCCUCUUCCACACUGCCAUGCAACUUUCGUUUCAAAAGGACAAACUUUUCUGUUAAGACGACAGACUGAAAACAAACAACGGACACAAAUUACUAAGAUGCCAAAGGUGCUUUAAAAAAAAAAAACAGUAACCAGUGAUGAUGACUUCUUCUGUGGAACGCCAGAAAAGAAGAAAAGAGAAGGAUGGGGUCGCUCGGGCAAGGCAGACAGAGGCCGAAGGGAGAUGAUGAAAGGGAUUUGUGUUGAACAUUAUGAGACUUUGUUUGAACGAGACGCACAACAGAAACAGCUAUGAAACAGUUGAAUCAAACCUUUGUGGGAAUCCGGUGCUCAGACUCCAAAACAGCGGUGGAUGACCUCCAGCUGGGCGACAUAAAAGUGCCCAGCCCUGUUUAAAUGACUCUUGCUUUCACAGGAAGAGAGAAAGAAAGAUAAAGGAAAACAAUGGAAAGAGAGAGACAAAUGGAAGUGUUUUUUUCUUCUAAAAACUCCAUGGAGUAUCAAACAUUUUGAGUUUUUGCUCUAAGUAAAGAGGAGAUCUUCUCUGAGACCCCCGGGGGUCUGUGAUUUUGCCCACUUGCUAUGUACAGUUAAAUUUGAAAAGGAAGACGCGCCGCUACUUACAAACUAUUUAUGUGUGGACGUUUGCUUUCUGUCUCUUCCAGAACAAAAGAAAGAACAAAAAGAUGUUUUAAUAAUUUUGGAGACAUGCAAGAGUUCAGUGUGGUCCGGUUCUUUGUAACCAUCAGGAUCACAAUCUCAACGUCUUUUUAUUUUUUGUUUUGUUAAUGUUGUCAUCAAUGUUUCUUAUUAUAUUACAGUAUAUCUGAAUGUCAAGUCGUGUUUAUGGUUUGGAUAUAUGAGUGCAAGGAGGAGAUAUGAGAGUCAGUACAGGAAGAUGCUUUAUUUUUGUUAUGAAAUAUAUUAAGCUUACUUAUAUCCAAGCAGGAAUUAUGUUUAUUUCUUUUGUUGUGGUUGAAUGCCUGUAUUUAAUCCAUUGGAAAAGAUGCAAAAAUGUGGGCAGGAGGUGAAAUAGUCGGGGGAGAAAAGUCUCCACUGCCCAGUCCAUUAUAUUCACAAAAACAUGCAUACAGCACAUUAAAGUAUGUUCAUGCCAAUCACACAACACAUGUUAGAGCAACUGUAGUGUGCAUGCAUGCCAGAAUGAGCCCUAAUUUCUCUCAUACAUGAGGCUACUUUUCACUCUCAACACUGAUAAUGAAGAUGCCCGCCUGCUCCGCUUUACAAGCACACAUGUUGUUGCUGCAAUGAGCAAAGUCCACCUUAAAGAGUGAAUGAGCGAGCCAAGCAAAUCGACAAGCGCAUGAAUGGGCUCCUUGUUUGGUUAGGCUUUACUCCUCUGUUGACAGGAGAGCAAAUCUCUGAUCACUCCACCCUGUGAAGGUACUGGCACCUUAAGCAGCCACAUACCAUCAGGACGGAUGAUGAUGAUGAGUGCUCAGAGGCGGCCCGACAACAGUACAGUGCUGGCCUGAACCCACGCUUCAAUGGAACAGACCAUGACUUCCUCACCUUGUCCUGUAACAGCGAUGAUGAAUGUGUAACCGGGCCAACACUAGACGAAAAAAAAACGUCUUCCACUCCGUGUUCAAAUGAGGAAGUCAGAGGCGAAAUAGUGAGUCACUGUGAAGUGAGUCAAGUGAACGGCAAACGAGAAAAGUUGAAUUGAAGCAUGGCAGAUCACACACAGCCCAUCUGUGAAUUAACUAACAAUCAGUUGACUGGUGCUAUAUUUAUAAGGCUGAUGUUUCAUCACUGCUUACAUUCACAUCCGUGUAAGAUAGUGUUCUUAGCAAACCAGGGACCACGCUUAGAGCUAUUUGAUUCAAGAAAAUGCCAUUUCAUUCAGCCUUUAUUACUUUUCUUUUGGCCUUCCAUUGGAUAAAGACAGCAAUAAUCAUAAUUUAUAUAUUUAUGUUUUCAACAAUAAAUAUAUUUCUGCUUAUGAAAUUGUUCACUGAA